UAGGGAAUAUUGGACAAUGGGCGCAAGCCUGAUCCAGCAAUGCCGCGUGUGUGAAGAAGGUCUUCGGAUUGUAAAGCACUUUCGACGGGGACGAUGAUGACGGUACCCGUAGAAGAAGCCCCGGCUAACUUCGUGCCAGCAGCCGCGGUAAUACGAAGGGGGCUAGCGUUGCUCGGAAUGACUGGGCGUAAAGGGCGCGUAGGCGGCUUGUACAGUCAGAUGUGAAAUUCCCGGGCUUAACCUGGGGGCUGCAUUUGAUACGUGCGGGCUGGAGUGUGAAAGAGGGUCGUGGAAUUCCCAGUGUAGAGGUGAAAUUCGUAGAUAUUGGGAAGAACACCGGUGGCGAAGGCGGCGACCUGGUUCAUUACUGACGCUGAGGCGCGAAAGCGUGGGGAGCAAAC
rnacentral:rRNA from 1 species